GCAUAAUCGAUAUUUUUAUCCGCAAACAGCUUAAGAUACAACGACAAAUAAGAACAAGUUAUAAAUUUUAAACAUUUAUAGUUUGCGGAUUUUUAUACAUUUAUGGCAAAUAUGUAUAAAACAUUCAAGAUCAAUUAGAUUAAUCGUGAAAAUAAUACCAAUGCUUCAGAAGCAUCUAUUUUAUCCAGUUUCCCAGCCCCUACUGUGGUAAGAACGAAAGCACAGAAAACUUCAUCUGACAAUGGUGGAAUAUCAUUUGAGUAUUGAGCUUCUCCAGAUGUUUGAUAUAUGGAUUCCAAUUUUGGCAAAGGUUGAUUCAAAGGCCAUAAAUUCUUA